GUGAGUGCCACAAACCACAAAAAUCUUUAACAAUUAAGUUUUAUAACUUGAAAUGCAAAUAUGAAUUGUUAGAUUUAACAGAAAAUUAUUGACAAAUUUAGCAAAUGACAAAGUUCUAUAACAGCUUUUGACAUGCAAACAAUGCCUCAAUUUUUUUUCAUUACACUACAUACUAAUGAUUCACUAAAAUACACUCUGUUAAAUGUCCCAAAUUUAUCAAAUUCCAAAACUUAUUGAUAUCACUCUCUCUUUCACCACUGUCACUUCAACAAUGUCCCCAUAUUUACACACACACGCACACACAGCAGAUAAGUAUUGAACACAUCACCAAUUUUUCUAAGUUAACAUAUUUCUAAAGGUGGCACUGAAAUGAAAUUCUCAUCAAAUGUCAUUAACAACCCAUCUAAUUCACACGUGCAAGGAACCAUAACAUGCCAUACCAUCAAAACCAUUGAGGUCAAUAAUGCACCAAGUCACAGCAAAAGCUGUUUCAGAUUUGUUUGUCAAGUAUAAAGGUUAUUUGUGACCGACAUGCUUGACGUUAAGAUAAAUGUAAUUUAUCUUUCCAGUCGUAAGUCAUUGAAUAUAAAUGGGAAAUGGCAGAGGAGGAGGUUUGCUGGUCACACCAUCAGCAAAAAUAAUGGAAGUUGCAAUGAAAGUGAAAAGCAGGCUUAUUCAGAAGUGCAUUAUUGUUAUUGAUAUGGUACAACUGUGGGGUCCUGUUUCUGGUUGAUUUUCCAUGUAAUGUAAUAUUCUUUUUUUCAUCAUCAAGGUGAUUAUAAAUUAGCCAGUCACAACCUUGUUACUGUUUUUGUCUUGAAAAGAUUGACUGUUUUGUCUGAUGCAAUGAGACCCAAACAUUUGUGAAACAUUACUUCGAUAUUAUUACUAUGUCCUCAAUUCAGGAUUAACACAGUUUUCUGUCUUUUUUUUUUUUGCAGUCUCUCCCACAGAAGUGAAUAUUAGAAUGAUUACACAAGACUCAUUUGAGUGUGUGACAGAAUCCAACCCAAGUGCCAAUUUUAUCUGGAAUCUGGCCAGACUCUGCUGCAGUCUUCUAUCAAAGUCGACGGUGCACAGCUACAACUGCUGAGUCUGACCUCUGAUCUAAAUGGCCUCUAUCAGUGUGAAGCAUCUAAUGCAUAUGGAACUAAACAUGGUCAGCUCUAUGUGCAUGUGGCAUCAGGUGCAUGCUCUGCUGUUUGGGCCCUAGUUGGUGCUUUGUUUUUCCUGAAUGUUGUUGUUGCUGCAGUAUGGUACCUUAAUAAAUCCAGGCAACUUCAAAGGUGUUUUCCAUCACAUGGUGAUGGGCCUAGAGACCCACCAUCUCCCAGGAGUGCAGGAGAUGAUCAAAGACGAGAGCAAGAACAACUGCAGGAAGUGAGCGAGGUCACCAACGGUUAAUUUGUAGAGACGUUAAAGUCAAAAUUAAUUAUGUUAAAUAUAAAUUAAUUAAUAUGUCUCUCAAUAUUUUGGUGCUAAUGACUUAACUUACAGUUUUUCUCAAUUGCUUCUGUGCAAUUCUCACAGCAGAAAAGUCAUUCAAACCACUCUUCAUGCAAUUCUCAAAACAGAGCAUUUUUCAUAACAGAGUCUCUUGUGCAAAAGGAACUACUACAAUCAAAACCUUUCUUACAUUGUUCAAAAAACGAAUAGUCAGUCAGUCACUUUAUCUCUGUGAUGAAUGAAUAGAAACCUUUCACCACCCUUUAAAGACGUAGUCAUCAAAUUGUUUAGUUUUAUUUUCCCUCAAAACCUUAAAUGACUUUAGAAGUAUUGCAAAAAUGUAGGCCUAAUGUAGUGUACACAUAUUUCAGAAACAAAAGUGAAAUCCGAAGGAUUUUAAUAUUUAUUUUACAAAACUGAUGAAAUUGAGAAAAGCAAAAUAAUAAUCUUUAAACUAUAUGCAAAAGAAAACAGACAAAAAUAGAAUAGUGAGACUGACUUUUCUGCUCUGAGAACUGGGCCAAAGCAAUCGAAAAAAAAUGUAAUGCAAAACUCUCUGAUAUGGUGGAGAUAUGUUUAUUUUUUUUUAUCAUUUUAUUAAAUCUGCCCUUCUUUUUUAAAUAGUGUGUUGAAUAUUACAGAAGUAUUACUAUUCUUUGUAAAAUCGGCAGAUACACAGAGUCUUUGCGUGUUUGUUUUAAAUUCAAUGCAGGUUUUUAAACAAUUGUUCUGAAUUCUCUGCCUCAGCAAUCCCUCUGACAGUUGUGGAAGCCAAAGAUGGAAAAUAUCUCAACUGAAGUUUCUACCAACAUAUUAUUCUAGAGUUAGCUUAGUCUUUUUAAAAAGGCCAUGUUGUGAAACAACUUCACAUGUAACUGGAACAACCGUUAGGAUGUGGUUUUAACUGUCUGUUCUUCUAUUGUCAUGAAAAGCUUUAACUAUAUUUGCCAUCUGUUCUUGUGUUUCCACCAACUUGUCAAAAGCUUUCAUCAUCAGUGAAAGCUGUUGACAGCUAUAGUAAUGUGGUUACUGUAAAUUCAUGAAUGAAAAAUCCACCUGCCUUCAGUAACACCCUUCCCUAAGGGUAACAAUAGAAGUAUUUAAGGUUAUAAUGUACAAUACUGGCCAAUUGUGCACACAUCAACCAUUCAUAUGGAAUUACAUGUUUUCCUUUUUUGUUUGUGCCUAUAAAAGCACUAUGACAGUAUCCAGUCAGUGUGCUAGCACAGCUGCAGCAGGUGUGUCUGCAUUGAAGCUCUGGCUGAUGUUCUUUACUCCUCCUGAUAACACGAGUCAUUAAGCUGCAGUUUAUAAAACCCACAGUGUUUGUAUCAGAAACACUAAAUGAAUUACCAGUACAAUACAAAAACUCACACAGAGAAUAGCUUCACUGCACACUGUGAAUGGUGCUAAAUUUCUCUUGUGCAUGAUGAUGGUGCACACACUUACUCCCCUCCAGUAAAACUACUACAUAAAACUAUAAUAAAACAGGCCUGCACUUGUCUGUACUUGCCAUGAAUGUACAAGUUUUGCUCUAAUAAAACAAAACUUACACAUGCAAGUAAAAAAAAAUCUUAAUCUUUAUUCAUGUAUUUACUUAAAUGAAUGUGCUGAUCAACAGUUAAUAAGAAACCUGAACAGAAAGCCCGAGUAUAUGAACAGAUUUCUUAUAAACUUAUGGGAGUAUGAUUAAAUACUCAUUUUUAGGUAAUGAUAAAAUACUAAAAAUGGUAAAUUUAAAAUUUAAUAUUAUAUGAAUACAAGACUACAUAGUGCAUUAAGUAACAAAUGCUAAGUUACACAAAUGCAAAUGCACUCUCUUAAUUUCUUAUCUUUUGUUGUUCUGGUUCAGACCUUUAACUUCAUCCGUUCAGCCGAGCUGACUUAUUUAAAUAGACGGGUCUAAUAAGUGUGCUGACUGAUAAAGAGCUGUUUUUACUUCACUGUUAUGAAAAGUGUGUCAUCAUAAAGACGGAAACUGACUGUAACUGAUAAUUCUGUUCGACAUUGGCUUACGUAUUUCUGCAAAGCUUAUGAUGCCUGUAUUUUCCCAGGAGCUAUCACUUGGAUCUCUGUUUCCAGAGAGCCAGACUCGCUCUACAGUGUUUGCUGUAAGCUGCUUCGCUUUCCAAAAUGGUUAAAGGCAUGUUUAACUUCUGUUGACACACAAACUUUUCAAGUAAUGUCAGUGAAACUCUUUGAUCAUCUGUUUUGUGCCGACUUUUAUUAUGAGUAUACAAGCUAACGACAGGAGGCAAAGUCAGCAAAAAACAGAAUAUGUGACAUGCGCAGUUUCUAAGGUCAAAUUUAAGUUCUGUAUUACAUGCACUACAGAAAAGCAGUGAAAUACUGUGAAAAACAAUGUCAACCUUCAAAAUGCACUCUCAGCUGCUAAUCUGACUUUUCCUUGACCAGUUUAAGAAAAGAAAUGGCUUGAUAGUAGGUCGAUAGACCAUUUUUCACAAAACUGUAUUCGGUAUAUGAAGCUAAAAUUUCACAGCAUGUGUGUUUAAACUUUGGCCCAUAAUUUUUACCCCCAGACGUAAAAAGGCUGAUGGAGUAUUUUGACCAGUUAGUUAACCAAUCAACUAUUUGCUGCCAAGUUUGUGUGUCAAAUGAAGAUAUGUUUGUAUUUUAAUUGUGUAGGUUACAUUUAGCUAAAUUCAUCUUAAUCCUUUAUAGCAAUAGUUACACUAGUACGCGUUUUUUAACUCUAAACUUUAAAUCUCUAAACUUGUUUAUUGAAAGAGUCAGCAUUAAUGAAUAAACUGUGCCUUGUCUUUUCUCUCAUUUACACAUGUACACAGGGGAUAUUUGUGAGAGCCAUUUGACAACAUGUCCUUACACUACACAUUAAAACAGUCUUCUCAAACUGUGGAGCUGGUGGUGCGACUACUGUAGGGAAUAAUUAGCUGACAUUUCAGAGAAAGCUGGAGAAUUACUUUGUUAAAGCAUUACACAGUCAGGGUUCCCUGCUUUUGGAAAGCUAUACAUCAUAUCAAAUCAUAUAUCAUACACCUGUGUCUCAGAUGGUUGUACUUUUCAAUUUAUUUAGGUUUUUGUGUGGCAGCUUUUUUUAAGCAUUCAAUCACUAAAGUGUGUUGUUUGAUCUGUAUUCUAAAUUGACCAAUUAUAAAUCAUUUGGUGUGCUUGCUUUAUAGCUUGUGUCUUUUUAUUGUUUGCUUAAAAUGAAACUUUGUUUUGUAAUUGCUUUUAUAACAUGUUACACUGCUGAAAUACUUUUUGUUAUCAUUUUUCUUCAAAAGUAAAUAAUCAUGCAUAAAA